AUUGAACGCUGGCGGCAGGCUUAACACAUGCAAGUCGAACGGUAAGGCCCUUUCGGGGUACACGAGUGGCGAACGGGUGAGUAACACGUGGGUAAUCUGCCCUGCACUCUGGGAUAAGCCUGGGAAACUGGGUCUAAUACCGGAUAUGAGCCUUCAUCGCAUGGUGGGGGUUGGAAAGUUUUUCGGUGCAGGAUGUGCCCGCGGCCUAUCAGCUUGUUGGUGGGGUAAUGGCCUACCAAGGCGACGACGGGUAGCCGGCCUGAGAGGGUGAUCGGCCACACUGGGACUGAGACACGGCCCAGACUCCUACGGGAGGCAGCAGUGGGGAAUAUUGCACAAUGGGCGGAAGCCUGAUGCAGCGACGCCGCGUGGGGGAUGACGGUCUUCGGAUUGUAAACCCCUUUCAGUAGGGACGAAGCGCAAGUGACGGUACCUGCAGAAGAAGCACCGGCCAACUACGUGCCAGCAGCCGCGGUAA
rnacentral:rRNA from 1 species